rnacentral:rRNA from 1 species
CCUACGGGAGGCAGCAGUGAGGAAUAUUGGUCAAUGGACGGAAGUCUGAACCAGCCAUGCCGCGUGCAGGAUGACGGCCCUAUGAUUUGUAAACUGCUUUUGUACGAGAGUAAUAGUUCUUACUUGUAGGGAUAUGAAUGUAUCGUACGAAUAAGGAUCGGCUAACUCCGUGCCAGCAGCCGCGGUAAUGCGGAGGAUUCGAGCGUUAUCCGGAUUUAUUGGGUUUAAAGGGUGCGUAGGCUGUCGGAUAAGUUAGAGGUCAAAUGUCGGGGCUUAACCCCGGGACUGCCGUUGAUACUGGUCGACUAGAGAGCGGAUGCAGCAGGCGGAAUGAGUAGUGUAGCGGUGAAAUGCGUAGAUAUG